rnacentral:sRNA from 1 species
GUUCCCUGAACAUCAUAAAAUGAUCCUCGACCGAUUGAAUGAACAGCGAGAGCAGGACCGGUUUACUGACAUCACCCUAAUUGUCGACGGACACCAUUUUAAGGCUCACAAGGCUGUUUUGGCGGCUUGUAGUAAGUUCUUCUACAAAUUCUUUCAGGAGUUUACCCAAGAACCUUUGGUGGAGAUAGAAGGUAAAUGAUUGUUGUUGUUGUUUUUUUAUUUAAUAAAUCAAAGAAGCCAUUUUAUUUAAAUGCUUGUUUUAAAUACAAUACUUAGCAAACAAUUGGUGAAGCAGUUUUAGGCAGUUUAUCAAGACACCAUAGGAAAUAGGCAUCAGUAGUUCCUAUAGAUAAAGGUAGAUAAAUUGCUCUUUUGAUACCUGAGAAGUCUUACUUUCAGUGAAGUGCUUGGUUGAAUGAUCUGCCAAGAAAAACUUAGGAUGGUAGAUGUUGGUCUUUUCCAUUGUGGAAACUGGUGGUCAUUGUCUUUUGAAAACGUAUUAAACGUGAAUUACUAUUUUUGUUCAGUGGGCUUAUGUUUCAGACUGGUGGAGAUGCUGCAGGUUACAGUAGAAGCUUCUACUCUGCUCUUUAGCAGAAGUAGUGAUGUACUGGCAGAGGUACAGAUGACAUGCAGUGUAAAGUGGGCUGCCAUAAUAGGGAGAAAGCUAGGAAGAAUGAACUGAAGUAGCGUUUAGAGGAAAUUCUGGCUCUACAAUGGGAUGGAUCAAUACCUGUUACCUUGAAGCAAUAAGUGAUUUUUGUACUUUCUAGACAUUUUUCUAGUAAUAACCUGCCGAGUGCCAGGCGUUGUGAUAUGUAGUUUUGUGUAUCGUCUAAGGCUCACAGCAAUCCUUUGAUGUUGGACAGGAUGGCUUGUGCUUGUAGUCCCAGCUACUCGGGAGGCUGAGGCAGGUGGAUUGCUUGAGCCCAGGAGUUCGAGGCCAGCCUAGGGCAACAUAGACCCUGUCUUUUCAAAAAGGAAGUGGUAUUAUUUGUAAUAAUUUACACUUCAUGAAACAGGCUCUAAAAGGUUACUUGCCCAGGGUUGCCCAACUAGCAAGGAAUUAAGUUUGUGCUAUUAAUUACCAUGCUUUUUCUUCUGCUGCUGCAGUAACUCCUCCCCUACCACCAGCAUCAAAAUCCGAAACAGCAGGAAAUAAAUGUUUGCCUACGUAAUUACAGAAUUUUAGCUUCUUUUAGGGUUCUUGGGUUUUGGUUUUAUAUCUAUUUCAUUGUGUACAUAUUCUUUGUUCUGAAUGGGUUGCCUAAAAACAUUCUUUUUUUCCCCUUUGAUGCCUAGGGGAAUAAAGAAAACAGAAAAGAGUUAAGAAUAUUCUUUAAUUUUGGUAUAUUCCAGUUUAGCAUUAUAGCUGAUAUAUUUGCGGCUAGAGUAUCUUUUAAUAUCUAUAAUCAGAACAGAGAUAUAAUUAUGAAAAUCCACAAAACUUAAUAAAGUGAGAAUCUAACUGCCCAGAUGAUAGUGGUUUCUACUACAAAGCAAGCCUCCAUGAAUUCAUUCACACCUGAGGCUUAUUAAAUAUGUAACCCCCCAGGCAGGUUACUUUACCUCAAUUGCAUACUUUUCUCCUCAUCUGAAAAGUGGGUUCAUAGGAUUAUAAAGACUAAUUGCGAUAACAUGUAGAAUGCUUGGCAUAAUAUUUGGUGCAUUGUCAAAGCUUGAUAAACAGGGUCCGGUCUAAGAAACAUUAGGGAGACCUCUUGUUUACAAAAAAUUUAAAAAAUUAUUAACUGAGUCUGAUGGCACAUGCCUGUGGUCCCAGCUAUUCAGGAGGCUGAGGCAGGAGGAUUGCUGGGGCCCAGGAGGUCAAAGCUGCAGUGAGCCAUGAUUUUGCCACUGCAUUGUAGCCUGAGUGACAGAGCAAGGCCCUGUCUCAAAAAAAAAAAAAA